AACGAACGCUGGCGGCAUGCCUAACACAUGCAAGUCGAACGAGACCUGCGGGUCUAGUGGCGCACGGGUGCGUAGCGCGGGGGAACCGGCCCUUAGGUUCGGAAUCACUCCCCGAAAGGGGUACAAAUACCGGAUAAGGUCUUCAGACCAAAGAUUUAUCGACUUUUGGUGGGGCGGCGUUGGCUUAGCUAGUUGGUAGGGUAAAAGCCUACCAAGGCGACGAGACAUAGCUGGUCUGAGAAGAUGGCCCGGCACCCUGGGACUGAGACCCGGCCCAGAUUCCUCCCGGUGGCCGCAGUGCGGAAUGUUCGACGCCGGGUGAAUGCCUGCUCCCGCCAUGUCGUGUGGGUGUGUUAGUCCUUACGGUUGGACUGCUCGUUUACCCUGGAUGGUAUUGACAGUACCGGGAGAGUAAGCUCCGGCUAACUCCGUG
rnacentral:rRNA from 1 species